GACGAACGCUGGCGGCGUGCUUAACACAUGCAAGUCGAACGAGGUCCAUGGUGCUUGCACCGGAAGACCUAGUGGCGAACGGGUGAGGAACACGUGAGAAACCUGCCCCGGACUCUGGGAUAACAGUUGGAAACGACUGCUAAUACCGGAUGCCGUUGCGGAGUCGCAUGGCUCUGCAACGAAAGAAUUUCGGUCCGGGAGGGUCUCGCGGCCUAUCAGCUUGUUGGGGGGGUAACGGCCUACCAAGGCAUCGACGGGGAGCUGGUCUGAGAGGAUGAUGAGCCACACUGGGACUGAGGCACGGCACAGACUCCUACGGGGGGCAGCAGUGGGGAAUCUUGCGCAAUGGGCGAAAGCCUGACGCAGCAACGCCGCGUGCGGGAAGACGGCGUUCGGGUUGUAAACCUCUUUUAGCAGGGAAGAAGCGAAAGUGACGGUACCUGCAGAAAAAGCACCGGCUAACUACGUGCCAGCAGCCGCAGUAA
rnacentral:rRNA from 1 species